rnacentral:rRNA from 1 species
UACGUAGGGGGCAAGCGUUGUCCGGAAUCAUUGGGCGUAAAGAGCGUGUAGGCGGUCAGAUAAGUCCGCUGUGAAAUCUCGAGGCUCAACUUCGAGCUGUCGGUGGAAACGGUCUGGCUAGAGUCCGGAAGAGGAGAAUGGAAUUCCUGGUGUAGCGGUGAAAUGCGCAGAUAUCAGGAAGAACACCCGUGGCGAAGGCGGUUCUCUGGGACGGUACUGACGCUGAGACGCGAAAGCGUGGGGAGCGAACAGG